CUCGCAGAGGCUCUUAACCUGGGAUUCGGACAGCUGCUUGCACUCAUUCAGCUGCUCGAUCCACUGGUCCAGCUCCUUGGUGAA
rnacentral:pre_miRNA from 1 species